GAGAGCAUGAGGAAGCAGUGUGGGAAAUCCUUUUUAUAUACUUGAACUUGGCUGGAGACACAGGAGGCACUGGAACUGCCCUGGAUAAAAAGCAAAUUCAUGGUACAAGAUCCUGAUUGGAACAUUUUGAAUCAAGUCUAGUCACAAUAUUUUGUCCCUUCUGAGGACAGAGCACACAUCGCCAAUGCAGAAGUCCCGAAAUCGAUGCAAGAUCGCCCCAGCAUUCAUUAUUGAAAACAUACACGUACCUUAAUAGAACUUUGUCUGCUACGCAGUGUCCAAAAACAUUCAGUAUGUUUGUGUGGUUCCACAUCCGACUCUCCGAGGUAGCUCCCUAUUGUUAUCAGGAGUGUAGGAUGGAAGGUGAUAGAGGCCGGCAUGAUAAGUUUGAUACAAACUGAGCUGAAAUGACAUACUAGAACAGCAAACCAUGGGAGUACAAAUGUGUCAUUUGGAAAGACUGACUUGUAAAGUAUGAAUGUUAUGUUGUGGUCCUGUGUUACGUGCAAUGGUGAAACAAUUUAUUUUCCUGUUAUCCUGUUGAGCGUGAUUGCUGUCACAUUCGGCUGUGCCCCAUGGUAUUGAUGCAUACAUGACGGCACGUUGGAUAUGUGUAACAGGCUGUGUCUAUGAACGAAGCUGAAACAAUUCUGUGAAAGUUACUUUUUUGCACAAGGAAGGUUUCACAGGCCUGAACUUGAUGCCAUGCAUCUCAAGGAGAAAUAACAAUAUGACUAAAUUUACAUUCCCAACUUUGUGAAUAUUUGAGCAUGAAGUUUACUGGAACAAGGAAAGUUCGGCAACAAACUGAAAUGAAACAUUGCUGCAAAAUGAAACAUUGCAUUGUUUGUAAGAUGGAUGUCGUUUAGACGAUUUUAGAUGUUUCCCUGACAAAUCCUGGCAUUGGUCUAUGAUUGGAGAAGUCGAAUCCAUAAUGUAAAGGUAAAACAAAUCAACAGUAAUUCGAAAGCACGGUAGGACUGAUUUCCUGCCUGAAAACCUUGCAAGCUUUAUAUAUUUAUAUCUACAGAUUAUUCAGCACAUUAUGUGGAUGAUAAACUUAUGAAUCCCAUUAAAAGAUAGCAUUGUAAUACCCAGCCAUUCCAUAGUAAACCUGCAAAAUUCAUCCAGAUUUAUUGUGGUUAAUCAAAAAAUUUAAAUUAUG